GUGGGGAAUUUUGGACAAUGGGCGCAAGCCUGAUCCAGCAAUGCCGCGUGCAGGAAGAAGGCCUUCGGGUUGUAAACUGCUUUUGUACGGAACGAAACGGUCCGGGUUAAUACCCUGGGCUAAUGACGGUACCGUAAGAAUAAGCACCGGCUAACUACGUGCCAGCAGCCGCGGUAAUACGUAGGGUGCAAGCGUUAAUCGGAAUUACUGGGCGUAAAGCGUGCGCAGGCGGUUUUGUAAGACAGGCGUGAAAUCCCCGGGCUCAACCUGGGAAUUGCGCUUGUGACUGCAAGGCUGGAGGGCGGCAGAGGGGGAUGGAAUUCCGCGUGUAGCAGUGAAAUGCGUAGAUAUGCGGAGGAACACCGAUGGCGAAGGCAAUCCCCUGGGCCUGCACUGACGCUCAUGCACGAAAGCGUGGGGAUCGAACAGGAUUAGAUACCCGAGUAGUCC
rnacentral:rRNA from 1 species